rnacentral:rRNA from 1 species
CGCGAAAGCGUGACGGGGGAACCCAAGUGCCGUUGGUCUUUUGAUCGACGGCUUUUGUGGAGUGUAAGAAGCUCCACGAAUAAGGGCUGGGUAAGUCGGGUGCCAGCCGCCGCGGUAAUACCCGCAGCCCAAGUGGUGGUCGCGAUUAUUGGGCCUAAAGCGCUCGUAGCCGGGUUGGCAAGUCCCUUGUGAAAUCGGGCGGCCCAACCGUUCGGCUGGCAAGGGAUACUGCCAGCCUUGAGGCCGGGAGACGUCAGGGGUACUCCGGGGGUAGCGGUGAAAUGCUCUGAUCCUCGGGGGACCACCAGUGGCGAAGGCGCCUGACGAGAACGGACCUGACGGUGAGGGGCGAAGGCUAGGGGAGCGAACGGGAUUAGAUACCCCGGUAGUCCUAGCUGUAAAGGAUGCGGGCCAGGUGUCUGGUGUUCCUCGAGAGCACCAGGUGCCGGAGAGAAGUCGUUAAGCCCGCCGCCUGGGAAGUACGGUCGCAAGGCUGAAACUUAAAGAAAUUGGCGGGGGAGCACCACAAGGGGUGGGACCUGCGGUUCAAUCGGAUUCAACGCCGAAAAACUCACCAGGGGCGACAGCUGGAUGAAGGCCAGGCUGACGACCUUGCCGGACUAGCUGAGAGGUGGUGCAUGGCCAUCGUCAGCUCGUACCGUGAGGCGUCCUGUCAAGUCAGGCAACGAGCGAGAUCCUCGCCCUUAGUUGCCACAGUGGAAAGCUGGGCACUAUAAUGGGACCGCUGGCGCUAAGCCAGAGGAAGGAGAGGGCGACGGUAGGUCCGUAUGCCCCGAAUCCCCUGGGCCACACGCGGGUCACAAUGCGUAGGACAAUGGGUUGCGACCUCGUAAGAGGAAGCUAAUCCCCUAAACNUACGCUCGGUUCGGAUCGAGGGCUGCAACUCGCCCUCGUGAAGCUGGAAUC